rnacentral:lncRNA from 1 species
UACUCCCAUGAUAUGAAUUUCAGACUGAGGAAACAGGCUUACAUGCAGCAGUGUUACUCCCAUGAUAUGAAUUACAGACUGAGGAAACAGGCUAAUAUGCAGCAGCGUUACUCCCAGGAUAUGAAUUUCAGACUGAGGAAAAAGACUUACAUACAGCAGCGUUACCUGCAAGAUGUAAAUUUUCGUUCAAGGCAGAAGUCGUCCAUGAGAUGCCAUUAUGCAUGCAACACCAUGUACAGACAGACACAGAGAGAAAACUACACUAAUAGGUACAGAAAUGACCCAUACUUCAGGCAUUAUCGUUCUCUACAGAAAAAGAAGUAUGCACAUGUCAAUACAAAUUUCCAGAGAAUCCUUCACAAAAUGCGAUGUGCUUUACAAAUACAGCACAAGUAUCAUCACUACAAUCUUAAACGCCUGUCUGGACUACAAUCAGAACCGAGAGAUUGAACAAGAGUCCAUGUCAACAGAAAGCGCCCUUUUGCAGGAAGCCAUUGCAUCCUUUCAAAUGGAAAUAAAGAAUGGACCUACUUAUGUUUGCACAGUUUGUCACAGAGCUUUGUUUCAUAAUCAGGUAAAGAAAUGCAACCAUGACAGUUAUAAAAGGAAUAUAGAUAUGAUUGGUAGAUGUUUAACAGGGAAGUACGUACACAAAUGCAGGCGUGACUGCAAAACACUUGAAUCAUGUUGUGCCCCUGAAGAGAAGAGAGAGUGGAUUUGUCAUAGCUGUCAUGAUAAUUUGAAGAUGGGGGAAAUACCGUCCAUUGCUGUUAUGAAUAUGCUAGAACUAUCACCAAUUCCUCCAGAGCUCAGUGAUCUGAAUAUACUUGAGAGGCACAUAAUAGCACGAUACAUACCAUUUGCUAAAAUAAUCAGUCUCCCCAAAGGCCAGCAGAAGUUAAUACAUGGUGGGGUUGUGUGUGUCCCUUCAGAGGUGGAAUCAACAGUCAAUGCAUUGCCCAGACCCAGUAGCCAGUCUCAGCUUUUGAAAGUGAAGUUGAAAAGAAGAAUGAAUUAUACAGGGCAUUACCAGUUCCAAACAGUUGAUAUGAACAAAGUACUGAGUGCCUUAUCAAAACUGAAAGAGAUACAUUCAGAGUAUAAGGACAUAACUAUAAGGGAUGAUGUACCAGCUUUUGAGGAUCCAAUGAAUAGCUUGGCAAAUGAGAGUCACAUAAAUGAUGACAUUCGUGCAGAUAUUGCAGAUGCAACUAAUCUAAUGGAGACUGACACAUGGGAUGAGUGUGACAUGACAGACACAGGUGGACAUUCAGGGACGAACAGCGCAUGCAAUCAGCCAAACAAUGAAAACCCUGAGUUAAAUGAUGCCCAGGAUUCACCUGACACUGAGCAGGACACUAAUCAGCAGAAUGGUGGAUGCUCAAUAGAUUCAUGCUUACAGCCAUCUGAUAUUGCACAGGAAAUGAUAACAUUUGGUGAGGGUAUAUUCAGUGUGGCUCCAGCUCAGGGAAACAAACCAGUG